rnacentral:misc_RNA from 1 species
UUUUAGUUUUAUGUACCCUUACUUUAAAAAUUCAUACUUAAUCCUUACUUUACGUCCAAAAUCUUGCUCACAAACAAAGUUCACUAAUAUGGUAUGCCACCUUUAUUUUUGUAAUUAAAAUUUUCAGCACAAGGUAGUGCUAAUCCACUCAUUGAAGCCCAAAGGGCUUUUGCAUGAAGGGGUGUAAUAGGGAAUGCAUCGUAGAAUGAAACCAACUCUUAAAGCUUUGGCAUGAAGGGCAUGUUACGGAGCAUGUUAUAUCACGACUUUUAUUGUUAGAAUUUUAAGUUUAUAGGUUGGGAUGUACUUUAAUAACUAUGUUAUUAUAUAUUAUGCUCUGUUUUAAUCAGUAGUUCAGUAAUAUUUGUAGAUUAAUUUACUUUGUUAAAAGCGAUAGUAGUUCAGCUUAAACAUAUGAUCUUUACCCAAUUUUCAUCUCCAUUAACACCUUGAUUCAUCUGAGUCGUCCUGUUGUAUUUUCAGAUGACACUUCUAAAAGCAACAAGGGUGAAGGUCAGAACAUGCCAAGUAGAGAUACAAGUUCCCUUUAUCAGGAACAAAGAGUACAACCAUGCCAUCUGAGUUCGUCAAUCUAUUAUGGUGGUCAAGACAUCUUUCAUCAUCCCCAGAAUAGCCAGAGCUCUAGUAUGACCUCAAUGUUCAACAAAGAUGGGGCAGAAGAUGACUCUGGAAGUGCUUCAAGAGGAAACUGGUGGCAGGGGUCUCUCUACUACUAAAAUGUCACCUGCCAUGAUAUAUGAUCACCUAGGUAUUUAUUUCUUAAAAGACGCCUGGGAGUAGAUAUUUUUCAAAGGGGUUUGAGACUUCCUUUUUCUUUUUAUAUAUGCCUAAGGUAUAAACAUGCUCGAGCUUCAUAUGUAUGAUGAUGCUCCCACCUCUUCGGUUGGCUUUCUUUUAGUUAUAGAGAUCAUAUAGGUUAAAAGACUUUAUUGAGUUCAUGCCAUUGUUGGGACUGCCAUGUACUUCUUAAUAUUUGUUCUUUAAAUUAUUGAUGAUUAACUUUAUAAUGAUCUCUUGCCAUAUACAUUGGUCGGAGUUUCCUAGUUUUUGCAGUGAGUUGGGCUUUUUGAGGUGUGAUGGAAUAGAAACUGGUCCGCCUAUGCUUCGAAGAUUUUAAUGCUCUGUUUCUGUUGAAUCACAUAACUGGCUAUGAUUAUUAACAGUUAGAAGAAAACGUAAUUGAAGUUAUCUGAUUUGAAGCCACAAGCAGCUGCAUGAAUCCCAUUGGACAUUAUUUUGCUAUUUGUGUAUUACAUAGUUUUUUUCUUUUGAAAAAAAAUGGUCUGUCACAUUCUUUUUUCCCUUCUUUCAUCCUAAGUCCUCAUAACAACUUGUUGCUUUGCAGGUAAUAGAUAAAAUAGGGCAGCACCUCAGUUUACCUUUCUUUACGUGGAAGAUGUGAAGUAGCAGGCAGACCAUAGCAGAUGGGCGGUUUUCCUUCAUCUAAAUUUAUACUAGUAUGAAAAAUUAACAUGCCUGUAUUUUUUUUUUUUUUUAACAUAAAAGAUGUUUGGUUUAGGAGCUUGUGAGGAUGGAUACAUUGCAUGCACUCCCUCUUCUCACCCUUAUCUUACCUAAAACUGUAAAUAUGAACAAGUUUAAAUUUUGGAUAUAUUUGUUCUGCCUCUAAAAUCCCCCUUUGCAGUGAACUUUGUGGUCACUCUGGAAACUGUAAGGUUGGUUCAAAGAAUCCGAAAUUGAAAGAUUUCCAAUUGAGUUUCUUAUAUAUAGGACGAACUUCCAUUAUCAGGAUAGAGCAUAAAGAUUCUUUCACAUAAUCCUCAGUUUGUUUCUGGAAAUUCAAAUGCAUAACUUUUCGUGGAUUUCUACUAUCUUUUGACUCUGACAAAAGUACCCUGUCUAGCGAAGCUACUAAUGCGACGGUGAUAUUUUAAUGCAAGUCUUAUGAGGCUCGUUUUCUUGUGAACAUUGGAAGCCAUGUAGAUGAUAUUUUGUGAGUGGUCAAAACAUUUUGGUCACUGGGAUGCAUGGAUAUCCAAGAAAGCUCCUGGUCGACAUCGUCACGAAGUCUUACCUCAUCUUAGGGCCUCGUUCCACUAACUGGUUGGGACUUGCAGACGGUCUUCGUGGGGCGUGGUCCCGUGUCAGAAUUAUCUUGCACUGUGUUUUCGCGUUCAAACAGUCCUGUCAAUGUCUUAUCGUGAGUUUGACAUCAAAUGCCCUGCUUGCUUUGUAUUCCCUAUCAGAAAUGUGAUCCACAGAUUUGAUGCAGUCCUUUUCCAUGGUCGUGUGGGACGAUGCCUUUCAAAAGUUUGAGAAAGGCUCGGCAGUUGAAGAAGAUUUCUAAGCCGAGCGCAAAAGAUCCUGCAGACAUACUUUUAGUAAAGCUGAAUCUGAUUGCGAUAUUCUUCCAUUUGAAUGUUGCCGACACAUACUAAAGCAUUUGUGGUUUGGAACACCGAGUUCUAAGCUAGUUAACUGUUAGAUUUUUCAAGGAUAAUUAAUGAGAUGUGGUUUCCUGGUACUGGAGUUAUUUUUAGGGUUUCUUGAAGAUAUUAUAAGUGCAGGGAAUAUUAAAAAGAUGGGCAGAUAAAGUUGCUGAACAUUUAUUCAGGAUGGAUACAUUCAAGCUGCUUGCAUUUUAUUAAAAAGAGAAGACUAGUACAAUCUAGUUGCUAGUUGCUAGUUGCUACUAGCCUCUAUACAUGUGGCUACAAGCAUUCAAGUACUUCAUUUUGGGCUUAUUCUGCAGGAUAUCCAAUCAUGGAAGUGUAUAAGCUGAAAAAAAAAAACCCAGCAAUUUUGAGUUUAGCUGAAUAGUGAUCUAUAGGUAGAAAUGAAUGACCAUAAAUAAUUGAGGAAGCAUAAAUGCUACCAACCUCCACACUUGUAACCCACGGGACGGUUAGGAAUGUUGCAUCGCUUGGGGAUGGUAAUGGCAAUUUCAGGCUUGAUUCCAGAUUCCUUGACAGUGUUUGAAAGCAUCACAGCACAAAGACAGCUUGGGUUCUGGCCAAUACUCUUCACCUGAAGGCAGCAGCUAUCUGACACAGCAGCAUUCUCAUUUUGUGCUGCCUCUGCACAAGGAGCUAACUUAAGUGCUUCAUUAUCUGGAGAAGAUUUUCCACAUUCUCCAGCCCCUUGAACCCCUCCAGCAAUGCUCACAAGCACAAACAAGCCCAAAAGGCAGAACAACUUUAGUGAAGCCUCCAUUUAUGUGUAAUAUAAGAAUCCUCUGUGCUAAUUUGGGAUGCAAAAACUCUCCCUCUAUGGACAGCUUUUAUACUGUAAGAAGAGCGACGAAGGCGCUUGCAACUUCUGCCCACUAAUUAUAAUGGAGGUAGCACUAACGAAACAAAUAAGAGACGCACAUAUAUUGUUGCAGCACUUGCUUUAGCAAAUUUGCAGUUGGCAUCAUUUACUACUUCUUUGUCUUAUCAAGGUUGGUGUCUCCACUAAUAUAUCAUCCUGUUCUUUCCAAUUAUAAACAGAUGUUAUCCUCUCAGUGAGGAUGUGUAUUUUAAAAGAGUUCAAUAUCCAGCCAUCACAGUUGUUCUUUAAAACUCCAUUGCCAUAAACAGAAACAGAGAGCUUCUUCCAAUAAAGCUUCCAUUUUGUGAGGAGACGUGUAACCAACUUUGAGCCAACCACCACAGACCUCGCGCUGUUGAGAAAAUAUUUGGGAUUUGGCUACGUUGGGCUCUUGUAAUGCCAAGCUAUUCAUUUCAAGCAUAGAUGAGUAACUGGGGGAGGUGUAUGAGUAACUGGGGGAGGUGUUAGAUGUCUUCUACAAUUACUUUAAUUUUAAUUUAUUUUAUCUUUAUUUUAAAUAAUUU